rnacentral:tRNA from 1 species
GCUGGCGUAGCUCAAUGGGUAGAGCAGCUCACUUGUAAUGAGCAGGUUGGGGGUUCGAGUCCCUCCGCCAGCU